AAGGACGGCUAACCAAAGAUGAAGGCUCUUCUACCAAAUGAUAUGAGGCGUUUGCGAAGAAGAAAGAUGGAGAGGCACAUGCUGUGACCUCCCAUGUGAAACCCAGAAGACCCUCUGUGAUGUGGAAGCCUGUGCGUCCAGCCGGUAAUAAGCAUCAGGUGGCUCACAUAGCACCUGUCUUCAGAGACAACCAACAGUAUCAUCAGCACAACAAUAAUC
rnacentral:lncRNA from 1 species